rnacentral:tRNA from 1 species
GGGGGCGUGGCGCAAUUGGUUAGCGUACCGGACUGUCGAUCCGGAAGUUGCGGGUUCGAGCCCCGUCGCUCCCGCCA